CAGGAUGAACGCUGGCGGCGUGCCUAAUACAUGCAAGUCGAGCGAACAGAUGAGAAGCUUGCUUCUCUGAUGUUAGCGGCGGACGGGUGAGUAACACGUGGGUAACCUACCUAUAAGACUGGGAUAACUCCGGGAAACCGGGGCUAAUACCGGAUAAUAUUUUGAACCGCAUGGUUCAAUAGUGAAAGACGGUUUCGGCUGUCACUUAUAGAUGGACCCGCGCCGUAUUAGCUAGUUGGUAAGGUAACGGCUUACCAAGGCGACGAUACGUAGCCGACCUGAGAGGGUGAUCGGCCACACUGGAACUGAGACACGGUCCAGACUCCUACGGGAGGCAGCAGUAGGGAAUCUUCCGCAAUGGGCGAAAGCCUGACGGAGCAACGCCGCGUGAGUGAUGAAGGUCUUCGGAUCGUAAAACUCUGUUGUUAGGGAAGAACAAAUUUGUUAGUAACUGAACAAGUCUUGACGGUACCUAACCAGAAAGCCACGGCUAACUACGUGCCAGCAGCCGCGGUAAUACGUAGGUGGCAAGCGUUAUCCGGAAUUAUUGGGCGUAAAGCGCGCGUAGGCGGUUUCUUAAGUCUGAUGUGAAAGCCCACGGCUCAACCGUGGAGGGUCAUUGGAAACUGGGAAACUUGAGUGCAGAAGAGGAGAGUGGAAUUCCAUGUGUAGCGGUGAAAUGCGCAGAGAUAUGGAGGAACACCAGUGGCGAAGGCGGCUCUCUGGUCUGUAACUGACGCUGAUGUGCGAAAGCGUGGGGAUCAAACAGGAUUAGAUACCCUGGUAGUCCACGCCGUAAACGAUGAGUGCUAAGUGUUAGGGGGUUUCCGCCCCUUAGUGCUGCAGCUAACGCA
rnacentral:rRNA from 1 species